CCUUCUCCUUCAGUUUCUCUCUUACCUUCUCCUCUCUCUUACCUUCUCUUUCAGUUUCAAACAAAAAAACCUUCAGCCAUCGCGCCGCCAUGCCUCCAACAGCAGUCGCUGCGGCUAUACACACAAAAACCAACGUAGAGAUGAUGACUCUCCACAGCGGCGAUGAAGAAGACGACGGUGGCGCCGCCGCACCUAGGAAAUAGCUGGAAGGAGGCGAAUCUGAAAGGGGUCGAGUGGAAAUCAUAACAGAGAAUCUCCAAAAAAUCAAGGAUUCCGCGAUGUGAAGAGCGAAUUGAGCAACAACAACCUUCAAUCGGCGAAAGUGACGGUGAUGAGCAGCGGUGGAAAGCUUUUCAGCAUCGAAGAAUUUGUAGAAAAUAGAGAGUGAUGAAGGUUCUGCGGUUUUAAGAUUCAAAGAAUGGUGAUGAAGAUCUUGCAGAGGAUAGGGAGAGUUUUCUUGGUGAGUUUCUCCCGAUUGUUGAAGAAUUAGAGUGAUUUGCAAUCACAAAGAUAAGAAGUAUCCGACGGGGAAGAGGACGAACCGAGCUACAAUGGUGGGGUUCUGGAAAGCAACAGGAAGAGAUAAGUCAGUGUAUGAAGAAACAAAGCUUAUUGGAAUGAGGAAGACACUUGUUUCCUACAGAGGAAGAGCUCCUAAUGGACAGAAAACUGAUUGGAUCAUGCAUGAGUAUAGGCUUGAAACUGUAGAAAAUGCACCUCCACAGCAUCUGGUGAGCCACCCUUACUUUUAGCAACUUAAGGUUUCCCUGUUUGAUUUCUCUGUUGAGAAUUUCUUCCAUGACAUGGACACCAUUGCCUGACUAUGUGGGGAAGAAGAACGCAAUGCUGCUGUUAAGGAAAGUGAGAUCAAGAGAAUGAGUUCUUCUGUCACUUUCUUAAGAGCAUGGAAGGAUUUUAAAUAUCCAUCUAAAAACAUUAGGUUUGCUUAUGGACUUGGGUGCUCAGAGUGUUAUGAGAGAAAUAAUAUACCAUACAUAAACUUAACUCAGUUUUCAUCUACCACUGUUCCUAAGUAUGAUACGGAAAAGGAGGAACUACUUGAGGAUGCGGAAUCUCAAGAUUCUAGGGACUUUGUGAUGAAUGUUGGAGGUUCUGUAUGAGCAUUAGAUUGGUGUCCUAGGAUGCACGAGGAGUCCGAUUGUUCAAUUAAAUGUGAGAUGAAGAAGAUUGUGAUAAGGAUAUGGAAGAAGCUUGUGAUCACGAAGAUGUUGCUUCUGGUUGUCCUGAAGAUGUGGAAGAAGGUUGUCUUGAAGAUGUGGAAGAAGGACAAGGAGAUGAUAAAGAAGAAUAUUAAGAAGUUGUGUUUUAUAUUAUCUAGCUAGCUAGUUGUUAUUUUGGGAUGACUAUUUGACAGAAACUUGUGUUUAAUUUAGCUCUUGUUUUGAAUCCCAUGGUUGUUUUGAAUUUGGGAUGACAUCAAAACUUAGUAUCCAACUAUUAUUAGUGUCACUACAAAAAAAACUUACUUUUGACCUUAA